AUUAAAAUGUGUUUUAAACCCCAUAUUCUAGAGUCUAUAAAUACCAAUCACUUUUCAAGUCCUGUAAGAUAAAAAUAAGAGAGAGAAAUGGCUAAGAUGCCAAGUUCAUCGAAGAUCUAUGUGGUUAUGCUUCUCUCAUUCUUGGCGCUUUUCAUAAUGGCCCAUGCUCAAACCUCUUCUCCAGAUGGGAAGUUCUUUCAAGAUUCCCCGGCCCAAGCCUACACCGGUCCUUCGUACGCUCCUGUUCCUCCGAGAUGCUUCAAUCCACCUGGCUGCGGUCCAACGGAUAAAAGGAAAAGAAGAUUUCGCCAUCAAAGUUCCAAUUUGGCCACAUGAAUCUUGAGAGUUAAAAGCUUGCUCGCUGAUGUUUGUGCCUGUGUUUGUGGUGCCUUCUCAUUUGGUUUAGGUUAUCUAUGUAUAAAUACAUAUAUGGAACGUUUAUGAGAUCUAUGUUAUAAUAUGGUGCGAUUUUACCCUGAGGUUGAGGGAAAUAAGAUUCGAAUUGUGCGAUUUCAAUUACUGGUAAGUUGGUAACCACUAUAGUUUGUUAUGUGAAAUGUAUAUUGUCAAAACAAAAAGUGUAUGUCGUCAAUUAUCAUAAUGAUAUUUCUGUUUA